GCGGGCGUAGUUCAGAGGCAGAACACAGGCCUUCCAAGCCUGUUACGACGGUUCGAUUCCGUUCGCCCGCU
rnacentral:tRNA from 1 species